UACAGAGGGGCAAGCGUUAUUCGGAAUUAUUGGCGUAAAGAGCUCGUAGGCGGUUUGUCGCGUCUGCUGUGAAAACUCGAGGCUCAACCUCGGGCUUGCAGUCGAUACGGGCAGACUUGAGUUCGGUAGGGGAGACUGGAAUUCCUGGUGUAGCGGUGAAAUGCGCAGAUAUCAGGAGGAACACCGGUGGCGAAGGCGGGUCUCUGGGCCGAUACUGACGUGAGGAGCGAAAGCGUGGGGGAGCGAACAGG
rnacentral:rRNA from 1 species